rnacentral:rRNA from 1 species
GACGAACGCUGGCGGCGUGCUUAACACAUGCAAGUCGAACGGAAAGGCCCUGCUUGCCGGGUACUCGAGUGGCGAACGGGUGAGUAACACGUGGGUGAUCUGCCCUGCACUUCGGGAUAAGCCUGGGAAACUGGGUCUAAUACCGGAUAGGAGCCAUUUUUAGUGUGAUGGUUGGAAAGUUUUUUCGGUGUAGGAUGAGCUCGCGGCCUAUCAGCUUGUUGGUGGGGUAAUGGCCUACCAAGGCGGCGACGGGUAGCCGGCCUGAGAGGGUGGACGGCCACAUUGGGACUGAGAGACGGCCCAGACUCCUACGGGAGGCAGCAGUGGGGAAUAUUGCACAAGGGGCGCAAGCCUGAUGCAGCGACGCCGCGUGGGGGAUGACGGCCUUCGGGUUGUAAACUACUUUCGCUAGGGACGAAGCUUUUUGUGACGGUACCUAGAGAAGAAGCACCGGCUAACUACGUG